rnacentral:rRNA from 1 species
GAUGAACGCUCGCUACAGGCUUAACACAUGCAAGUCGCGGGGCAGCAUGGGGGUUGCUUGCAAUCCCCGAUGGCGACCGGCGCACGGGUGAGUAACGCGUAUCCAACCUGCCCUUCACCACGGGAUAACCCGGCGAAAGUCGGACUAAUACCGUAUGUUGUCCAUUGACGGCAUCCGAUUUGGACGAAAGGUUUGGCGGUGAAGGAUGGGGAUGCGUCCGAUUAGCUGGACGGCGGGGUGACGGCCCACCGUGGCGACGAUCGGUAGGGGUUCUGAGAGGAAGGUCCCCCACACUGGAACUGAGACACGGUCCAGACUCCUACGGGAGGCAGCAGUGAGGAAUAUUGGUCAAUGGGCGUAAGCCUGAACCAGCCAAGUAGCGUGCAGGAUGACGGCCCUAUGGGUUGUAAACUGCUUUUAUGCGGGGAUAAAGUGGCCCACGUGUGGGUUUUUGCAGGUACCGCAUGAAUAAGGACCGGCUAAUUCCGUG